rnacentral:lncRNA from 1 species
UAGCAAAAUGUUUGUUGCACUUCAGACCUUUUGGCCUUAAGUGCAUCUGAAGAGCAAUUUUUAUUUCAGACCUAUUGACCUUAAGUGUAGCAAAACGAUUGUUGCACUUCAGACCUUUUGGCCUUAAGUGCAUCUUAAGUGCAAUUAUUCACUUCAGGUUUAUUGGCCUUAAGUGUAGCAAAAUAUUUGUUGUACAUCAGACCUUUUGGCCUUAAGUGCAUCUGAAGUGUAAUUUUUCACUUUAGAAUUAUUGGCCUUAAGUGUAUCAAAAUGUUUAUUGCACUUCAGACCUUUUGGUCUUAAGUGCAUCUGAAGUGCAAUUUUUCACUUCAGACCUAUUGGCCUUAAGUGUAUCAAAACGUUUGUUGCACUUCAAACCUUUUGGCCUUAAGUGCAUCUUAAGUAUAAUUUUUCACAUCAGACUUAUUGGCCUUAAGUGUAUCAAAACGUUUGUUGCACUUCUGACCUUUUGGCCUUAAGUGCAUCUGAAGUGUAAUUUUUCACUUCAGACUUAUUGGCCUUAAGUGCAGCAAAACGUUUGUUGCCCUACAGACCUUUUGGC